rnacentral:tRNA from 1 species
AGCAGCGUGGCUCAGUGGAAAGAGCACGGGCCUGCAAGCCAGAUGACCUGAGUUCUAAACCCAGCUCUGCCA